ensembl:lncRNA
AAAUUCUGUUGGAGAUUCCUGCCAACCUGAGGCCUUCUGCUGUACGGGAACACCUGAGAAAAGGUGCUAUGCUGGGCCCAAUGAGGAGGAGCUGGUGAGUAAUGUGAAGCUCAAGGGAAGCCUUGAAUAUAGUGACCAUGAAAUGGUGGAGUUCGAAAUCCUUAGGGUGUCAAAGAGGGUGUGCAGCAAGUUUGCUACUCUGGACUUCAGGAGAGCAGACUUUGAACUCCUCAGGGAACUGCUUGGCAGGGUGACAUGGAAGAAAGCCCUGGAGGGAAGAGGGGCCCAAGAAAGCUGGUUGGUAUUCAAGGACCAUCUCCUCCAAGCCCAGAAGCAGUGCAUCCCAAGAAAAAAGAAGGCAGACAAGAAUUCCAGGAGGCCUCUGUGGAUCAACAAGGAGCUCCUGGACUGACUUUGGUGCAAAAAAUUCUAUAAGGAGUGCAAGCACUCCUUACAUCAAAGUUAACUGGGAUGACUACAAAGGAGCUGUCUGAGCAGCCAGGGAUCAGGUUAGGAAAGCUAAAACCCAGAUAGAAUUAAAUCUAGACAGAGAUGUCAAGGGGGGAAAAAGAAUAAAUUCUACAGGUAAAUCAGUGAUAAGAAAGUUGGGGAGGAUGUGGGGCUUCUCCAGAAGAAAACUGAAGACCUUGACAUGAGAGAGAUGAAGGAGGCUGAAGCGCUCAAUGACUUCUUUGCCUCAGUCUUCACCAGUAAGGGCUCUAGCCAUACCACCCAAGUUGGAGAAAGUAAUGAUAAGAACUUGGAGUAGAUCUGCCUGCUGUAAGUGAAGAUGUUCAAAACCAUCUAAAGAACCUGAAGGUGCACAAGUCCAUGGGACCUGCUGAGAUCCAUCUCCAUGUUCUGAGGGAACUGGCGGAUGAAGUUGCAAAGCUGCUAUACAUAUCUAAAAGGUCAUGGCAGUUUUGUGAUGUUCCCACUGAUUGGAAAAGGGAAAAUGUAACCUCCCCCCCCUUUUCAAGAAGGGGGGGGGGGAGAUCCAGGGAACUGCAGGCCAGUCAGUCUCACCUCUGUGCCUGGAAAGAUCAGGGAGCAGAUCCUCCUGAAGGCCCUACUGAGGCACACAUAUAUAAUGAAGCUUGUACUUCUUCAGAAGUUACCAUCAGAUUUCAGCUGAAGAGUUGAUUUCAAUUCAACUCUAAUUUCUGCAUGUGAGAACGCUACUGGAAAGAAGUGGGAAGAAAUGGCUGUCUCCAUGAUAAGUUCGAGUAAAUCAAGCAUAAAUGGUUUCCUUUGCAUUUUAGGAUCACAAGGUUUCCAAGCUUUUAUCUUAACAAUGUUCUGGCAAACUGUGUAACAAGCAAUGGCAGGAGUUGCAUAACUGCUGCACGGAGAAUAAAG